GCAUUUUAUUGUGACAAACAUGAAAUAAACAGCAAAGGGAAUAUCACAUAAAAGCUUUCUCGAAUAUGAAUCUUAAGCUACAGUGCUUUCAGGAAACCAAGCCCAGGGCAUGUAAAGUCCAAACAACAUACCUUCACAUUCAUAAUCAACUCAUCUCACAGUAACAGCUCCAGACUCCAAGUCCUCACCCCACACAGCAGUGCAUGCAGUAAGGAGGUCUACAGAGCAGCGUGAAAUCAUGAUUGUCAAAACACACAGAAGCUUUAUGGCUCACCAAAGGACUGUGAUUUGCAUGAUUUUAACAAUAAUGAAUGUACGGUUAAAAACCUUUGUUUUUGUCAGUGUGCCUGUCACUUGAGUACGUCGGAAAUUACAAUCGCAUUUCAUUUCAGUAAUUGCACUCUUAAAGAAAUACUUAUCCAGGAAGUCCAAGGACAGUUGACGGUGCGUCAAUAAACAUUUACGCGAAACAUAACAUAUAUCUGUAGAACAUGUAUCACUUAGGAAGCUCUAAAUCUGUAUAAUCUGCCCUUUAAGAGACGCCACUAAGUUUUUCAGAGAGAAGAAGUUGUGGUUAUGCGUUCCCAGUGUCGUUUUAUUUACCUAAUCAAGCAGGGACACUACGAAAUGUUCAGAAUACAUUAAUCGAAUUUUUUCAUUAUUUAUUUUUACUGUAUCGCUCCAUAGCAAGCUGGAGAAAACUCCAGAGGGACAGCUUGGUUAAGACUUUCUCCCGUGUCUCUCUCGUACUUAGAUUUAGAUGGGUUAACGUUAGAAUCGUUCACACUGUUAGAUUUAGAAUGGUUAGAAUCAUUCGAGCUCAAAUCUGUAGGUAAGAAUUUUUACACACGGAUUCGACUGAUGUAGAAUUCUUAGUGAGAAUCAUUACGACGGUCAGAUUUAGAAUCAUUCGCGUUCUAAACGUUAUAUUUAGAAUCCUUUUAUUUAAAAUCCUUAAGGUGGAAUCUUUAGUUGGAAUCUUCAGGAUUAUUAGAUUAAGAGUCGUUAUAUAUAGAAUCGUUAGGAGGUCAAACACAGAAGGUCCUGGAACCCUAUUGUUAGGAUUUUUAUUAUCCUUAUUAUUAUUCUUAUUAUCUGCUGUAACGAUAUGGAGAGCAAAGACCAUAUGUCAUAAAAACACCAAAUUUAGAGGGAAGGUGUGGAAUGCCCCCCACUACUCUGACACUCAAAGGGACACACAUAGGCCUGAUGUUGGUGCAAUAGCAGAAGGUUUUAUGUUUUGGUAAACGUUCACACUUUAUGAACCCUAAGUCCUACAAAGAAACUCUUUUUUUUUUUUUUUUUUCCACUGAUUCCUUCGGAUCUCAAAAUAUAUUUGUGGGGGGGUGUUCACAAAAUUGGAGUCAAACUACUCACGAUAGUGGAAACCUCAACCACUACCAAAAACAUGUCGACACUUGUAAACAAUAUGGCUGUCACACGCCAAUCACCAUUUAUGAAGCAGAGCUUAAACAUUUACUCAAUGUGUAAUGACAAAAUUCUGAGGUCAUAUGCAAAGUUUCGGGAGUGGCCGUACAUAGGGGGUGGGGCUAAAUUCAACUAACUGUUUCUUAGGAACCAUACAUCGUAUUGAGCUGAAAUUUGGUACAAGUGCAUUUCUGUAAGUGUACCUUUGAUGAUGACCUGAUUACUUUAAAACAUUUAACAGCGUUACCCUUGACCUACUGUCAUGAAACUUGAAUGCUAGGUUCCUGUAGGGACGCACUAGUCAAGUCAUGAAAAUUACCCACUGGGGGCAGUAUUCCUGUUCGUUUACAGUGCUUGGCCCCGAUGAUCGCUGCUUAUGGCUAUACUUAAUAGUUAUAAUCGUUAGAAGCACGUUAGAGUUAGAAUAUAUAUAUUCAAGAUCAUUGGUUAUAAUAAUUGGAAUUAGAACAUCUAGAAUUAUCUGUAGAUUUAGAAUUAUUAUAGUCAUUUUGAAUCAUUAUAGUGAUAUAAUAAUUUUUAGUUCGAAUUUUAUAGAAUCGGUGGAUUUAAGAACUGUUGGAAUGUAACGGACGUGGUUGUGAAUUUGGGAUAACUCGGUCACGAUGAGUAUUUGGAGAAACGUGCGUAAAUGAGAGUCUUUGGCAAUCACACACACACACACACACACACACACACACACACACACACACACACACACACACGCGCAGCAUCAGAUCAGGUUAAAACUACAGGAGUAUUUCAUUUCAUUUUAUAUUAUAUUUCAUUUUCAUCUGUGUGAAAGUUUGCAUCAGUCAGUAUUUUCACUACUCCUUUGUAAUGUCAUAGCUCUGUAUAAAUCAUUACCUUCCGGUAAUUAACGUAUCCUUGGAGCACAUCUUUAUAUGAGGAAAACUAUACACUGCAACUAUUAUAAAAAAUAAAACAUUAAAAUGAUACGUUUUUGUGAAAACUGUGCAAUAAAAUGAACAGACCAUUUACACAAUUUUUUUUUUAGCCAUUUGCACUGAGUGACAGCUGGUACAAUCGCGAUAAUCAGCUCGCUCGUUAAGAAGGAAAAAACUCAAAUUCACAGCAAGAGUCUCUGUGUGUGUGAUGUCUGAUCAAACAUUAACAAAAGUUCAGACUCCUACGGCUUUACCGGCCUCAUUUGCUAACACUCUCCGCACAGCGGGGUCCAAACGUCUGAGACCAAUAGCACAGACGUUUCUAUUAUUUAUUUAUUUAUUUAUUGAACGCAACUUUUUCAUUACAAGUAAUAUCAUCCGCAACAACUUGAGUGAAUUUCGUAGUGUUUUUGCUUUAACAACAGUAUGCACUCAAGCUGGCCUGGACUCCACGAGUUUGUGUAAAACUUGUGACGAUCCACGUUAGAACAAAUCCAUCGGAGUGACGCCUGACGCGUUUCAAACGAAGGGAUAAGACGCAAGGAAAAUUUGACCUUUUGUACAAAGAAGUGCUCGUGGUCAAUAUCACCAACGUGCUCACAUUUGAAUAGUGGCAUAGACAGAAUCCUAAGAAGAUAUUUUCUAGAUUUUUCUAAAACAAGUUCGAAAGCUUUAUUUUUUUUUAUUUAUAUAUAUCCAGUCUUAAAUGGGAAAAUAAAAUAAAUAAAUAAAUAAAUCGCAGCCAAUGGUCUCAGACAUCGGACCCGAGUGAAUAUAUGGCGUAGCAGCAGUGUACAUAAGUAAUUAUUUAGAUGUAGCAAGAGCUCAUCGAAAUGAGGUUUCUAGAGCAACAGGGUAUUAUGGAUAAAAAAUAAAAUAAAAUCAUCAGCUGUGUAAGUGCUCCUAAAGCUGCAGGAGAAACCAGUUGAAACCAGUUACAUCCUAGAAAAUUCGCAUACGUCAUGAAUCAUUUACGACAUCCACAUCAAUUCACGCGUAUAUUUCAACCUUAUCUAAAUUUCCCAUGUUUAAAUAUUCCCUGCUAUCUAUAAAAAUCUAUAAAAACAGGAAUCUGUUCAUUCUAAACAAUCCGACUGCAAACUGUGCCACUGCGUUCAAUUCAAGAGUGUCAGUGGUCAGUGGAAGAAAAGUUUUAAUCCUCACAUCGAUCGAACACCUCUAGCCUUCUCAUUUGGAUUAAAUCCAUGACUCGAGGAUCUGACAGUCUGUGGUAAUGUAAAACCCACUAAUCAUCACAUUAAACAGAUCAUUUAUAAUCGAUUACGACGGCCAAUGUGUAACAGUGCCUCGGUGUCCAUUCUGUACAAUUCAAGCAUAUAGACGCAAGCUCGUUUAGCUAAACCCAGAAAGAAGACGGUCGCUGUCAAGCCCAAACUGCAUUUGAUGCGACGAGGACUGGGAGCUCUGUGAGUAGAAGACAUUUCUACUCCUCCGCCUGGGUGGAUGUCCUCACCCUCACCCUGUGCCGCUUCUUUCCCACAAAGUCGAAUCGGCCUUUGUGUUCGUUCGUGAGAAAGUAGUAAGUUUGUGUUAGAAACAUGCACUCUUUCUCAGCUGUGUUUGUAUUACUAAGCCCUGUGAGAUAACUCAUAUGUACAUACACACACAGUGCAAAUUCACAGCAACCUUGGGUCGUUUCGUUACUUUUUUUUUUUUUUACUCUGAACAUCAGUUCGGGUCGGAUUUUUGGCACUUUUGUCACGGCUGAGAGCGCAAUUUUUACACAGUGUGGAAUUUCUCCAAGAAGGCAGCGAUGCGUAUAUUUGUGCUUUUUGAUCCUGAAAGACUUGGGCUGCAGUGGG
ensembl:lncRNA